rnacentral:rRNA from 1 species
GGAAUCUUGCGCAAUGGGCGAAAGCCUGACGCAGCAACGCCGCGUGCGGGAAGAAGGCUUUCGGGCUGUAAACCGCUUUCAGCAGGAACGAAAAUGACGGUACCUGCAGAAGAAGGAGCGGCCAACUAUGUGCCAGCAGCCGCGGUGAUACAUAGGCUUCAAGCGUUGUCCGGAUUUAUUGGGCGUAAAGAGUUCGUAGGCGGUCGAGUAAGUCGGGUGUGAAAAUUCUGGGCUCAACCCAGAGACGCCACCCGAUACUGCUUAACUUGAGUUCGAUAGGGGAGUGGGGAAUCCCUAGUGUAGCGGUGAAAUGCGCAGAUAUUAGGAGGAACACCGGUGGCGAAGGCGCCACUCUGGAUCGACACUGACGCUGAGGAACGAAAGCAUGGGUAGCAAACAGGAUUAGAUACCCUGGUAGUCCAUGCGGUAAACGGUGGGCACUAGGUGUGGGUUUCUAUUAACGAAAUCCGCGCCGUCGCUAACGCAUUAAGUGCCCCGCCUGGGGAGUACGGUCGCAAGACUAAAACUCAAAUGAAUUGACGG